rnacentral:lncRNA from 1 species
UUGUCCUUUUUCACAGUGCCACACACAACUACGACUGCAAUCAACCCUAUUAAAGAUGCAUCUAUCUGGAGACUACAGGUCCCACAAUGCAAUGAGGAAAGCUUCUCAAAUAGAGGUAACUUGCUGGGAUUUGUAGUCUCUGGGACAGUACCACCGUACAGAAGAAGAGGAUGUCAGGGAUUUUACUCCACUAGAGUGAAUUAAGAGCUUGUUUAGAGCUCCCAGCAAAUUGUUCUCAUUCAGACAAAGUUUGGGUGACCUCAGCCUGGAUCAUGGAAAUUGUUCCUCUGGUUUUCCAUUUCCCCCA